rnacentral:rRNA from 1 species
GAUCAUGGCUCAGAAUGAACGUUGGCGGCGUGGAUUAGGCAUGCAAGUCGAGCGCGAACCGUAGCAAUACGGGGAGAGCGGCGAAAGGGAGAGGAAUACGUGGAUACCUACCCUCAGGUUCAGGAUAGCUAUGGGAAACUAUAGGUAAUACUGAAUAAUAUCUCCGGAUCAAAGGUGUGAUUCCACCUGAGGAGGGGUCCGCGUCCUAUUAGCUAGUUGGUGAGGUGACGGCUCACCAAGGCGAAGAUGGGUACGGGAUGUGAGAGCAUGAUCCCGCUCACUGGGACUGAGACACUGCCCAGACACCUACGGGUGGCUGCAGUCGAGAAUCUUCGGCAAUGGGGGAAACCCUGACCGAGCGACGCCGCGUGCGAGAUGAAGGCCUUCGGGUUGUAAAUCGCUGUCAGUGGGGAGGAAAUGCCAGUGGGUUAUCCCAUUGGUUUGACCUAUCCGCAGAGGAAGGACGGGCUAAGUUCGUG